rnacentral:rRNA from 1 species
GACGGAGGAUGCAAGCGUUAUCCGGAAUGAUUGGGCGUAAAGCGUCCGCAGGUGGCAGUUCAAGUCUGCUGUCAAAGACCGGGGCUUAACCCUGGAGAGGCAGUGGAAACUGAAGCGCUAGAGUGUCGUAGGGGUAGAGGGAAUUCCUGGUGUAGCGGUGAAAUGCGUAGAGAUCAGGAAGAACAUCGGUGGCGAAGGCGCUUUGCUGGACCAUAACUGACACUCAGGGACGAAAGCUAGGGGAGCGAAUGGG